rnacentral:tRNA from 1 species
GCCCAGCUAGCUCAGUCGGUAGAGCAUGAGACUCUUAAUCUCAGGGUCGUGGGUUCGAGUCCCAUGAUGGGCG